rfam:Trichobilharzia regenti genome assembly, scaffold: TRE_scaffold0002922
GUACUGCUGAAGAGUUCCAAAAGGCUAGGACGAAACAACUGUCCAGUAC